CAGGACUCAGCCGGCAGAACCGUGCAGCUCGCUGCCGGUCCUGCCCUCUCUGCUUCCUUCAACAGGUGUCUGUUGUUCGACUGGUGGGCGGGGCACGCACACCUGCAGGUGGUUCAGCAGCGCCAGGGGCUGCACUAUAAGAACGGCGCAUGAACAGUGGGAGGAUGCCAGAUUGUUACCGUCGUGGUUCUCCUCUCGUGAUCCUCGUCUGCUUACCUGCCGGAUUCCACCUGAGCUCCUCUGGUCCCUUCCGAGUCUGAAGCCUCAUCUCGCGGUCCAGGGCUCUCCCCGGCUUCACCUGGUUCCUCCCCCUGGUUCAGGAUCUCUGGAUCUUCCCCGGUGCUGCUCGGACCCCCACUGCGGCCCACGCCCACCAUUCUCAUGGUCACCAACCACCACCGGACAGACGCUGAGUCCGCGAUCGCUCUCCCCCCCGGUCUGGAUUUCCGCACUCUGUGACCGACCCGGCACCUCUGGCUCCGCUCUCCCUCCCGUGAUACCGUCGCUGUGGCAGAUUCUUCCCGCAAACCCGUGUUUCUUUCCUUGAUCAAUAAAUCCUCGUAGAGAACACCACCUGUGUACCGAG